rnacentral:rRNA from 1 species
AGAGUUUGAUCCUGGCUCAGGACGAACGCUGGCGGCGCGCCUAACACAUGCAAGUCGAACGAGAGAUGAAGAGCUUGCUCUUCAAAUCGAGUGGCGAACGGGUGAGUAACGCGUGAGGAACCUGCCUCAAAGAGGGGGACAACAGUUGGAAACGACUGCUAAUACCGCAUAAGCCCACGGCUCGGCAUCGAGCAGAGGGAAAAGGAGCAAUCCGCUUUGAGAUGGCCUCGCGUCCGAUUAGCUAGUUGGUGAGGUAACGGCCCACCAAGGCGACGAUCGGUAGCCGGACUGAGAGGUUGAACGGCCACAUUGGGACUGAGACACGGCCCAGACUCCUACGGGAGGCAGCAGUGGGGAAUAUUGCACAAUGGGGGAAACCCUGAUGCAGCGACGCCGCGUGGAGGAAGAAGGUCUUCGGAUUGUAAACUCCUGUUGUUGAGGAAGAUAAUGACGGUACUCAACAAGGAAGUGACGGCUAACUACGUGCCAGCAGCCGCGGUAAAACGUAGGUCACAAGCGUUGUCCGGAAUUACUGGGUGUAAAGGGAGCGCAGGCGGGAAGACAAGUUGGAAGUGAAAUCCAUGGGCUCAACCCAUGAACUGCUUUCAAAACUGUUUUUCUUGAGUAGUGCAGAGGUAGGCGGAAUUCCCGGUGUAGCGGUGGAAUGCGUAGAUAUCGGGAGGAACACCAGUGGCGAAGGCGGCCUACUGGGCACCAACUGACGCUGAGGCUCGAAAGUGUGGGUAGCAAACAGGAUUAGAUACCCUGGUAGUCCACACCGUAAACGAUGAUUACUAGGUGUUGGAGGAUUGACCCCUUCAGUGCCGCAGUUAACACAAUAAGUAAUCCACCUGGGGAGUACGACCGCAAGGUUGAAACUCAAAGGAAUUGACGGGGGCCC